GCUCCUUCAUCCUUGCGGCUAUUUGAAUUGCACUGUGUUUUUUAUGGCCAACGGACGGAAUUCGCAGUGGCAUACUUUCUGUGGCUAAAUACAUUUGGAUUGCCCGGCUGGCUGGCUCUUGAUGCAAUUUAAAUGAUUAAGUAUUUCUUUUUUCUCUGUGCAGGGACUUGCAACAGACUUGUGCCGGAAGGCUAAGCGAGAAGCGAUUUAAAAUUUUCAUGAAAUUUCAUUGGAACUGCGUGGAAAUACUGGCCCCUCCAAAGUCAAUUAAAUGGUUCUCGGAAGCGUUUUAAUUUGAAAAACUGGAACGGCUUUAAUGGCGCGUCUUACUUUCCGUUUGAGCCGUUUCUGUUUCAGUAUAUUUAAUUUAUUUCUUUGCCGUUUCAGUAUUUUGGACCGCCCCAGUGGAGCAGAAGCUCCAUUCAUUUGGGCCAUUCAUUAAUUGAGUCAGUCACUAAUUUAUAAGCUGCUGUCGGUGUCCACUUUGUUUCUGAUGCCCAGUUUUUGUUUACAUUCUGGCAAACAGGACACGACAGGACGAAGCGGGUGAUUCGGGAAGGGAGGAGGGAGGAGCGACAGGAUGCUGAUACUGACAAUGGGAAAUCAUGAAAUGUAAACCAAAGGAAAACAUAAGUAAACAGCAAAGGAGAGCCAGCAAAAGGACUCGAAUGGACGAAGCGAAAGCUGGGCGCAAAUUACAUGUAUAAUCAAGUGAAGAAAUACGAGAGCACAUUAAUAAUCUGGAUUCAUUAGCACGAAGCCCUAGAGAACUGCCGGUUAUACCAAAACAGGCAAAACAAACAAAUUGCAAAUUGCAGCGGGCAAGCAAAAAUCGAGAAAAGGAGAAAAACGCAAAUAGGAGCAAACCAGAAAAAAAGGGUGGAAAGAACCGAUGCCAAAUGGCAAAUUGCUUGGCCAACACUUUUCCGGUAUCGAGUGCGCUUUUCGCUUAUGUUACAUAACAACGGGCUAAGCCGUGUAAUACUUGACAUCCAACAAAUUCUCAAUGGCAAUAUACGAAUUUAGUACCACAGGUAAUGAACGUUUUAAAUCGAAAAAAUAUUAAUGUUGUAGUUCCUACUUAAUAUUAGCUGCACAUACGAAUACCUUUCAUGAUGAAACAUGAGUGCCUUAUUACCUUGCAAAACCAUACAAAAAGUUAAAAAAAAAUCAUAUUUUUAUCCAAUUAAUCAUAUAUUUCAGAGAAAAAACAUUUAAUUACAUUUAGCCAAUUGCCAUGAAAAAAAAAAACAUAGGGAAAGAGAAUGAAAUAUACCAUUAACUUAAUUAUGACAAUUAAUGCCACUUAAACAAUAUUAAAUAUUAUGUGCCCAAGAUAACUGGCCACAAUUCGUAAGUGCUCUUGAUCGCGGGGAAUAAAGCUUUUAAAACGAUAAACUGGAAGGACUCAAGGAUGUGAGCAUAGGUACACUGGCUGUAAACUCAUAACUGGCAAAUGGAAAUUUGUAGAUGCUGUCAAAUUUAAUUAAACGCCACUUUCGGUCGGGCCCAUGAAUAAUCGAGUGCAAAUAAAGAGAAAAUGAAAUUAUUUUGAAUUUGUCACUGUCGCGGUUUGUUGGCAGUAAGUGGCUGACAGCUGCUCCCAAGCCAGUCAGCUGCACCUGCCCAGCCCACCUGGUUGCCAAUGAGACAAGGAGAGGCACUCGAAACAAAUUGCCACAUCCUGAUGUCUCGUCUCGACUCGACUCGACAUCGAGUCGACUCGUCUGGGGUUUGUGCACCCUGGCAACCACAGCAAUAACCUCGACUUUGCCGCAUAAAUCUUCAUCAGUCAAAGAUACUGGGAUACAAGGAUACACUCAAGUAUCCUUUGCUCGUGGCUAUGUGUGCGUGAUUUAUAAUGAAAAGUUCACAGUCGUCGGUCGGUGGCGCUAACGAAAUGCAAACAUGCAUACUAAUUACAUUUAAAACCGUCGGCUAAGCCAAGUUAAGCACGAGAAUAAAUCCUUUUUGAGCGCGGAAGGGCGAGUUAUAAUAAUAACAAAAAAAAAAAGAAAAAUAAAUGAUUACAAGUGUAGGAUGUGUAAAA